rnacentral:tmRNA from 1 species
GGGGGUGCAUUGGUUUCGACGGGGGUUGUGAAGUCGCCUGGCGCAUGCCGAGGGGGUAGCUUUCCUCGUAAAUCCAGCUGCAAAACUCUAGUUGCCAACGACGACAACUACGCUCCGGUCGCCCUCGCAGCCU